rnacentral:rRNA from 1 species
UAGAUUUUUAGUCAAGCUACUAAGAGCCGUUGGUGGAUGAUUUGGCGCUUGAUGGCGAUGAAGGACGUGGUAAGCUGCGAUAAGCGCGGGGGAGGUGCAAACAACCUUUGAUCCCGUGAUGUCCGAAUGGGGCAACCCUACUGCUGUGAAGCAGUAAUCGUAAUCUGAAUACAUAGGAUUACGAAGCGAGACGGGGUGAAUUGAAACAUCUUAGUAACCCCAGGAACAGAAAGAAAUUCGAUUCCCCUAGUAGCGGCGAGCGAAAAGGGAAGAGUCUAAACCUCCAAUAUGCCAAGCUUCGGAGCGUUGUAUUGGGGGUGUCGUGGGUGGAAGCGUUCUCGGUCCGAACCGAGAGAGGAAGAUGCAAAUAUUUUUAGUCGAAGGGUCUGGAACGACCUGCCAAAGAUGGUGAUAGUCCAGUAGACGAAAAGAAUAUUUCCUUUUUUGCUUUUUACCCAAGUACUGCUUGAUAAGUGAAACCAAGCAGGAAUCAGGGAAAACCAGUUCCUAAGACUAAAUACAAGCAAGCGACCGAUAGUGAACAAAGUACCGUGAGGGAAAAUUGAAAAGAACCCCUGUUAGGGGAGUGAAAUAGAACCUGAAACCAACAGGCUUACAGGCGGUAGGAGGGCUAUGCACUCGCAAGAGUGAAUGCCUGACUGCAGUGCCUUUUGCAUAAUGAUCCGGCGAGUUAUUCCAUGCGGCAAGGUUAAUCCCGGCGACGGGAGGAGCCGUAGCGAAAGCGAGUCUGAAUAGGGCGUUUAGUCUCAUGGAAUAGACCCGAAUCGGUGUGAGCUAACCAUGACCAGGAUGAAGCGUGGGUAAAACCACGUGGAGGUCCGAACUAGUGUAGGUUGAAAACUGCUUGGAUGAGUUGUGGUUAGGGGUGAAAGGCUUAUCAAACACCGUAAUAGCUGGUUCUCCUCGAAACAUCUUUAGGGAUGGUCUGGCGUAGUAGCAAGCGGAGGUAAAGUACUCAAUGGGCUAGGGAACUUACCCGUUUACCGAACCCAAUGAAACUCUGAAUGCCGCUUGUGUAAUCGCUGGAAUCAGACAGUGGGGGCUAAGCUUCAUUGUCGAAAGGGGAAAAGCCCAGACCGUCAGCUAAGGUCCCUAAAUAUAGGCUAAGUGGUAAAGGAUGUAGGAAUUCUCAGACAACUGGGAUGUUGGCUUAGAGGCAGCCACCAUUUAAAGAGUGCGUAACAGCUCACCAGUCAAGAAAUCCUGCACCGAAAAUGAUCGGGGCUCAAGCCUAUUACCGAAGCUACGGAUGUAAGUUCUCUUCGGAGCAACUUGCGUGGUAGAGGAGCAUUCCUUCUGGAUUGAAGCGGAACCGACAAGGAUCCGUGGACCGAAAGGAAGAGAUUAUGCCGGAAUGAGUAGCGAUAAAACAGGUGAAAAACCUGUUCGCCAUAAACCCAAGGUUUCCCGGGGAAGGUUAAUCCGCCCGGGGUUAGUCGGUCCUAAGUCGAGGCCGGAGAGGCGUAGAUGAUGGACAGCA